GCGAUUACAGGCAUACCUCUUCAUAGACUCAUGAGAUGAACGCCGCGGGUUGAGAGGGAAGAUGUCGGUAUCGAUUUUGUCGUAGAGCUGUCAGUGUUGGCGGUUGAAACAUUUAAAGUGAAUCUGGCUCGAAAACAUGCAUUUACGGUUGAACCAUAUUAACGGAGAUUGGUGUUUAAAAAUCGUUGUUCAACGGGAUAUUUGACAUUAAUAACUUGCAUUAAAGACGAAAUUAUUGUUCUUCGAUCAGACAAACUGGGUGUUAGAUGUGUUUAUAGUGACGUAAGGAAAAUGGGGUCGACGUUUACAUUCCUCCUAGGGUAUGAUAUAUCUGGACACAACUAAUAUUACAAAAUGAAGAUAGAAGAAAUUUGAUGGCAAAUAAAAGUAAUACUAAAACUGUUGAUUCACAAUUUUGGUCAUGAUGACAGGUUCAAAUGUGAGAGGUUAAGAAAAACCCAUUGCACAGAUGAUGGAGGUGACAAAGACCUCUGAAAUGUUAGUAAACUUCUAUCAGACAACACAGUGCUAAAGCCCUGAAGACAACUAUCUUUAAGAGGACAUUAAAUAAAAUGUCCCAGUAGAUAAAAAUGUUAGUGUGUGUAUAUUAACACUCCAGUAAACAAUUUAAGUUGUUAAUUGAACCUGCGGCAUACUGUUUCUUCUAUGAAACAAUAAAACUUUCAGCCUACAGUUGGAAACAGCCAGCUGUGAAAUAUUGGCUACGGAUUCUGCAGAUGAGCAAGCAACAAUUUUAACCCCUGAGGAUGCUAUGAAUGGCACAUAACCAACUUAAAUUUUGAGAGCUGGGCAAAGAAACUGAGUGCAGAAUUAGACAAAAUAGGGCUGGGACGUACUCGGCAACACCCGCAGGAGAAUGGUGUGAGUAUGACAUGUAAUGAAAUUAAAGAAUUAUGGAACGAUAGAAUUUUUUUGCAGAUAUAAGAGAAAAGAGGUCAUUAAUAUCUUAUUGUGAUAUGAAAAUGGAGUGGGCUAUGGUAGAAUAUAUACAUUCUGUUAUACAAGAAAUGAGAGAAGUGGGAGCACACAGUUUCAGACUGAUACCUGGAAGCUGAGAGGGAUGAGCAAAGAAUGUGACAAAGGGAGAUCUCUCUGGGUAACAAGGAAGCUAAUGUCAUAAAUAUACCAUUCAAAUUUUCAGAAGUGUAAGGAAUUUCUUUUAUAAAAUAGCUUAUUAUUAAUGAAGAGGUGGUUUAUAAGAGAUUCAUAAAUGGUAGAUUUAAGAAAUAUAGAAAAAUACCAGUAUACAACCACAUGUAAAUGGGAGGAUAAAUUUAACAAUAUAUAAUGGGAAAUAGGGUUUCCACCUGACAUGACACUAGCCAGCUACGUUACAAGUCUGAAACAUAACCUUUAUAAGACAGACUGAUCGUUCAAUAUUUAAAAUCUUGCAUUAACAAACCAUGUAGCCUAUAAAUAUCUAUUAAAAAUAGGAAACCCGAAGAGAAUAAAAUAUUACUAAGUAUUGUGUUAAUUUUAUUCUACUUUAUCCAUCAAACAGAUGUUACUAAAAACCAAAUUUUUCAGAAGAUGGUUCUACUUCUGCCUUCAGAUGAGAGGACAAAAGCUUAAACCCUGAAAAUUGAAGAAGAACCAACUUCUGAAAUGUUGUGGAUUCUAAUAAUACCCAGAUAAUGCAUAAAGCAAAAGAGUGUGCCACCAUCACCAGAGGCCUUCAAAUUUUGGUUAAUAUUAUAUAUUAAAAAGAAAAAAAUGUACCUCUCUAUCUUGGCUAUUACACCUGAUUAAUGAUGUGGGGCCUAGAGGAGACUGUUUCCAAAUGAUCUCCUAACACACACCUAUGUUUCCCAGUGGCACACCCUAGUAACUAUGGUGACCCACAAAAGGCUUUAAAAAUGUAAUUCUAAAAUGACUGCUACAUAUCUAAAGGCAUAUGGGCAGCCGCCUCACGACUCGACUACCAGUGAUCAGGUGGUGAACAAUAAUGAAGACAAUUACUCCAAUGGAUACACAAACUGAUCAUCAAAUUGAAACAUGGAUGAAAAGAUUUCAAUUUGUAACCUCAGAACACAUGAAGACGAACAAGAAAUGUCACUCACUGAAAAUUUACUCUCUUUUUAUUUUACUUCAGAGACGAUCAUAGUUACAUGACCUAUAUUUUAGUCACCAAAAACAGAAGUUUCAUUCAGUUUCUAGCAAAUAGUCCUGCAAACACUGUAUCUUUUCCAGUUAUUGGUUCCUCACCACUUCCCUUGCACACUCCACUGCAGGAAAAAGGUGGAGUAUUUGCUUUAUGGGGUACCUGCUUUCUAGGGAGUACUACAAACUGAAGUUCCCAUUGAUAAAACUAAUUCACUCUGGUUAUACUGACAAUCCUAAUGUGACUACUCAGAAAAUUAAAUAAUUCAAUAAUUUUAUAAGAUAAUAUGUCAACUGUCUUUUCAGUACCAUCUAGAUAAACUAUUAAAUACCUUAAUUAGCAAUAAUUUUCUACUCAUCUGAAUAUGUAUUACAAAUGCUGAACUUAAAUAACUUACAUGCCAGUGGAUUUAAUGUCAUAACCCCAUUCAAGUACAGAAUUUUGGGAAUCAUACUGUGUACUAAUUAAAUUUUUUAAGGUAAUCAAGUAUGACCAGUCUUUGCAAGAUCACUAAAAUAUCAUGGUACUACCAAAAUCACUAACAUUCAGGAUAUGUUUAAACAGUAAAAAUAGAAUUUUUUAAUAUGAUGUCAUUUACAGAUAUAGGCUAGAUGACCAGAUUUUAAUACUGGCAAGGCAGGGUUUUUCUCUAUGCCACAACAUUCACACUGGCUCUGGGGCCUACCAACUUCCUGUCCAAAGGGUAACACAGUUCUAUCCUUAGAAUACAGAAGCUGAGGAACGAAGAUCACCACUUACUUUCAUCAUGUGCUGAGGUUAAGAAGCUAUAAUCAACUUCCCCAUUGGCGAGUGCACUACAAAGGACCAGAUUUGUUACGCAACAGCCCUGAGGAUGAGAGCAGAGAUUGCUGUUGAAAAGUUGGCAGACGAUAUGGUUUAUUCACCAUUCAGCCACCUGAUGCGGCUUGUAACGCAAGAGUCUUUCAUCAACUUCCCCCAUAUGUCUGCAUAGUGCAGUGUAAAAUUAAGUUGCUUUUAUGCAUGACUACAGAUGUUAACUUUAUAUAUGCAAUACAGUUUGCAUCCUGUCGAUCAGAAAAUGUCAAGUCUUUAAAAAGGAAUGUCUGGUAAGAUUUCACUUCAAGUCUCUAUUCUGUACUUUUGCUAGCAACAAACCUGGCAGUUUUGUAUAGUUACUAGUGAAUGUUUCUUUGUUUAAAAUUAAACUGUUUAUGGAAACUGAA